UGUAGUCAUAUGCUUGUCUCAAAGAUUAAGCCAUGCAUGUCUAAGUAUAAACAAAUCUAUACUGUGAAACUGCGGAUGGCUCAUUAAAUCAGUUAUAGUUUAUUUGAUAAUACCUUACUACUUGGAUAACCGUAGUAAUUCUAGAGCUAAUACAUGCUAAAAAACCCGACUCUCGGAAGGGUUGUAUUUAUUAGAUAAAAAACCAAUGCGGUCUCGGCCGGUUAUUUGGUGAUUCAUAAUAACUUUGCGAAUCGUAUGACUUUGCGUCGACGAUGAUUCAUUCAGAUUUCUGCCCUAUCAACUUUCGAUGGUAAGGUAUUGGCGUACCAUGGUUACAACGGGUAACGGGGA
rnacentral:rRNA from 1 species